ACAGCGCUAUUUAGGUUAGAGUUUGAUCCUGGCUCAGGACGAACGCUGGCGGCACGCCUAACACAUGCAAGUCGAACGCCCCUUCGGGGGAGUGGCGGACGGGUGAGUAACGCGUGGGAACCUGCCCCGUGGUGCGGAACAACCCAGGGAAACUUGGGUUAAUACCGCAUGCGCCCGACGGUUUUGGAGAUCGUCGGGGAAAGAUUUAUCGCCAUGGGAUGGGCCCGCGUCGGAUUAGCUUGUUGGUGGGGUAACGGCCCACCAAGGCGACGUUCCGUAGCUGGUCUGAGAGGACGAUCAGCCACACUGGGACUGAGACACGGCCCAGACUCCAGCACGCC
rnacentral:rRNA from 1 species